rnacentral:rRNA from 1 species
CCUACGGGAGGCAGCAGUGGGGAAUAUUGGUCAAUGGACGCAAGCCUGACCCAGCAACGCCGCGUGAAGGAAGAAGGCUUUCGGGUUGUAAACUUCUUUUGAGAGGGAAGAGCAGAAGACGGUACCUCUUGAAUAAGCCACGGCUAACUACGUGCCAUCAGCCUCGGGAAUACGUAGGGGGCAAGCGUUGUCCGGAUUUACUGGGUGUAAAGGGGGUGUAGCGGGGCUGACAAGUCAGAGGGGAAAUUCCGGGGCUCAACCCCGGACCUGCAUUUGAAACUGUUGGUCUUGAGUAUCAGAGAGGCAGGCGGAAUGCGUAGUGUAGCGGUGAAAUGCGUAGAUAUUAGGAGGAACACCAGUGGCGAAGGCGGCCUGCUGGACGACAACUGACGCUGAGGCGCGAAAGCGUGGGGAGCAAACAGGAUUAGAUACCCCUGUAGUC